UACGAAGGGGGCUAGCGUUGCUCGGAAUUACUGGGCGUAAAGCGCACGUAGGCGGCUUUCUAAGUCGGUGGUGAAAUCCUGGAGCUCAACUCCAGAACUGCCUUCGAUACUGGAGAGCUCGAGUCCGGGAGAGGUGAGUGGAACUGCGAGUGUAGAGGUGAAGUUCGUAGAUAUUCGCAAGAACACCAGUGGCGAAGGCGGCUCACUGGCCCGGUACUGACGCUGAGGUGCGAAAGCGUGGGGAGCAAACAGG
rnacentral:rRNA from 1 species